UUGAUUGUAUUCGCCAUACUGAUUAUUACUAUUCCUUUCAGUAAUAGAAAGUUUUAUUUACGUUAGUUUCGGCCUGAUGUUAACAUUCUGUGUGUAUUCUGUACGAGACAGUGUUUCUCCGAAGUGCUUGAAAAGUUGACAAAUUCAGGCUUUUUUUACAGAGGAGGCGGACAGUUAAGUAAUGGAUGUGGCAGAGGAAACAACCCCCUUCCCCCUCCCAGAAGAUGGCGGUUGGAGACCUGUUGGGACAGAAAAGGACGAAAAGGAGGGAGAUGCUUUGGAGACGAGAUUCCAUCGACUGGAGAUAUGCAGAAGUUAUAUGAAUUCCCCCACAAACAGUUUCGUGAUACAAGACAGAUAGCAAUGACGGAUGAAUGCGAUACGACGGGAGCAACGAGCGCCCUACCAUGGAACUGCUCGGGACGAGCGUCCUUGAAGAAGUUGGGCGGAGUUAGCGUUCGGAAGAUG